GGCAUCAGCAUUAAGGGAGGACUUCCCCUGCCCACAUACAGAUCUGCCAGAGGUUCCACGUCACUAGAAUGCUUCCAUCUUCACCUGAACCGAUUCAUCCCAGUACCCUAGCCAGUGAUACCUUCUAUCAGACGUACCUGGUUGAUGGAUUGGCGCGGUGGAAUCAGGACAUUGCUGUUGCAGCUACAAGUGACAGGAAGGAGCCACACUCCUACAGUGGCAUCCUUUGCCACACUGCCAACACUCUCGGGGAGAAGGUGCUUGGAAAGAAUAUGGUUGCUUACACGCAAAUACACUGGGGUGCUGAUAGGUUUGGAGUACCUCUUCGAUCAGACAGGUUUGGGAUGAUGAGGGCUUUGUGGAGCUUGUGGAAUUUCAGGACCUGACACUUCCAGUGCUGGAGACAGCCCUGCCUCUUGUUGGCACCUUUCGUCCUACUCCCACCCCCUCUAUCAGCAUCCAGUCCACAGCUGCAUCAGUCAGUCCCCUGUCCUCCACUCCUAAUUAAUUUGAGACAUCACUCCAGUACAGUGGCCUGACUGUAACAGGUAUGUUGAGGCAGUCGUCACUAAAUUGUGCACGAUGAAUCCCCAUCCCAAGUGAGUUGAUGGAGUCAGGCUGAACCGGUGGACUCUCAUAGGACAUGGCUAUAAUAACAUCAGAGGGUGUAUCGUCAACAACGCCAGGGUGAUGCAGGAGACUGACCUAAUGCUGCCAGUCCUCAGCCAUGCCACGUUAACACAAUGGUACAGCAAGCAUCUUAAAGCACAGGAGAAGAGUGGGAUGGAACAGGGCAUCUCUGCACCAGAUCCACCAAUGGCAGAACCAGAAAGGCUCCCUUCGGCCAAUCAAAAACGGCCUUUGGAAACUGGCUAUCCCUAUUAUUUUACUAUGCCUCCAAUAACUGUUGGAGCAGCCCAGAUCAAAAGGAGAAGAACAGCCCCGAGCGAUGGCCUACCUGCCACAGUACCAGCAGCAGAUGAGGGACGAGUCCCUGAAACACAGAUGGUACUGCUCCACCACAGGCAGCAGUACCAUCUGUGCCUGGAACAUCAGUGCUACCUCUCCUUGCCAUACGGCCAAUCCGCCCAGCUCUCCCCUAAGCGCAGCCUACGUUUUCCACCGAUAGUACCGCUCCCCCACUCAUCCCUCUAUUCCUGCUGCUCAAGUCACCUUUGUUUUAGGUCCCUUAUCCACUCAGAGCAUGACAACAGCUCAUCCAACCACAACCUGUGCUUUACAGGAAGAGGAAGCUAAAAAGGAAGCAGGCAGGUACUUUCUGCAGGAAUUACAACAAGAAGGCAGAUGUGGUCUUGUGCAGCAAAUGUCACAACCACUGAAAACUCCCCACCCAUCAACAGUACUUUGGGAACUGGUAUUGUGAGGAAAGUGCCACAACAGUCAGGCCAAAAAGCAAGCUCCAGACACUGGCCC